AUUGAACGCUGGCGGAAUGCUUUACACAUGCAAGUCGAACGGCAGCUCGGACUUCGGUCUGGUGGCGAGUGGCGAACGGGUGAGUAAUGUAUCGGAACGUGCCCAGUCGUGGGGAUAACGUAGUGAAAAUUACGCUAAUACCGCACACGAUCUAUGGAUGAAAGCGGGGGAUCGCAAGACCUCGCGCGAUUGGAGCGGCCGAUAUCAGAUUAGGUAGUUGGUGGGGUAAAGGCCCACCAAGCCAACGAUCUGUAGCCGGUCUGAGAGGACGACCAGCCACACUGGAACUGAGACACGGUCCAGACUCCUACGGGAGGCAGCAGUGGGGAAUUUUGGACAAUGGGCGAAAGCCUGAUCCAGCCAUUCCGCGUGCAGGAUGAAGGCCCUCGGGUUGUAAACUGCUUUUGUACAGAACGAAAAGGUUUCUACUAAUACUAGGAGCUCAUGACGGUACUGUAAGAAUAAGCACCGGCUAACUACGUGCCAGCCGCCGCCGUAA
rnacentral:rRNA from 1 species